rnacentral:rRNA from 1 species
UAAGGAAUAUUGCUCAAUGGGAGAAAUCCUGAAGCAGCAACGCCGCGUGGAGGAUGAAGGGUCUAUGACUUGUAAACUCCUGUAAAGAAGGAAAAAAUUCCCAUUAGAUGGGAGAUGAUGGUACUUCUGGAGUAAGCCCCGGCUAACUACGUGCCAGCAGCCGCGGUAAUACGUAGGGGGCGAGCGUUGUCCGGAUUUACUGGGCGUAAAGGGUGAGUAGGCGGUAAUAUGUGUCAGAUGUAAAAGGCUAUGGCUUAACCAUAGUUAGCAUUUGAAACUGUAUUACUUGAGUGCAGGAGAGGUAAGUGGAAUUCCUAGUGUAGCGGUGAAAUGCGUAGAUAUUAGGAGGAACACCAGUGGCGAAGGCGACUUACUGGACUGUAACUGACGCUGAGUCACGAAAGCGUGGGUAGCAAACA